rnacentral:sRNA from 1 species
GAGUAGUGUGGCUUUGACAUCUGUCAUCCCCAUGAUCUCUGAUGUUGAUUAGGCUGCUCUCAACAGCUAGGCAUGUGAUCCCUUCCUGUUUGCCCCAUAUGCAUCCUUCCAAGAGCUGCAUGCUCUAUCGAAGACAAUGGCCUUUUCUGAUACAGGACAACCAUGGUUUGGUCAAAGGUAUGGGAGUAGACUCCUCUGCUAGAAUCUCUGAAGAAGCUGUCAAGAUGGGCUGGAUGCUAACUUACUUUCUCU